rnacentral:rRNA from 1 species
UACGGGGGGAGCAAGCGUUGUUCGGAUUUACUGGGCGUAAAGGGUGCGUAGGCGGCCACCGCAAGUCGACUGUGAAAUCUCCGGGCUUAACCCGGAAAGGUCAGCCGAUACUGCGGGGCUAGAGUGCAGAAGGGGCAACUGGAAUUCUCGGUGUAGCGGUGAAAUGCGUAGAUAUCAGGAGGAACACCGGUGGCGAAGGCGGUUCUCUGGGACGGUACUGACGCUGAGACGCGAAAGCGUGGGGAGCGAACAGG